AGUGCCAGCCUCUCUGCACAGAGCAGCAGCGUUCAGCCUGGGCCAGACGUGCUGCGGUGAUGGGUCAGAGCGGGCUCGGAGAGCCAGAGGGUCUGUGGGGCAGCGCUGGGCCCUUCUGCUCCGCACUAAGGCCGGGUGGGCGUGUUCAGCUGGGAUUGGAACCCACCAGCACUUGUGGGUGCGAAUGUGGGGCUGGAACGCAAUGUGGGGCACUCCCACCUUGCCCGGGGGCGACUGGGGGGAAGGGCAGAGAGACACCUGGGCUGAGACCCCAGCUCCAGGGAGACAGUCACCCCGGCCCAGCUGGGUUAAAUUGCCCAGCUGUGUGACAGCCCCCCCAUCCCCGAGGGGUCCCCCCCCGGUAUGUCACAGCAGGGUAAUGUGCGUAUUGAACGGCCGGGGGUUGCCAGAGACUGGCUGGGAGAGGCCUUUGGGGAUGGAGGAAGCAGCACUAAGGUACAUGCCACCCUCCCUACAGAGGAGGGGCCGUGCCCCGCAGGUGUGGGGCAGGGAGCUGGGACACUGCGUGGUGGGUCAUUGUCUGGCCCAGGCCCUUCCUAGCCGGACACCUAGGCCGAGGCAUUUCCUUCAGGUCACCUUCCGCUGCAGCUUGGCCACGGGCCCCCAUAGCCACUAGCCCAGCCAGGGAUCCAAGUCGGGAUUGUCACGGCUGGCUCCUCCCUGCCACCAGCAGCUCUUCACUGCCAGGGAAUUCCUGAAAUCCUGUGUGCCCAUGUUAGGCCCAAAAACCGAAAAACAUGUUUAUCUCGGCUUCUGCUUGUUAUCCCAGUAAACAUGCUUAUCUCAGUUCUCACUGUCGUUUCCCAUGCAUGAAGCUGCACGUAUACAGGAUGUAUAGAAGAUAUAUGGCAAAGGGGAGGGGACCCUGGGAAAGGAAUGUGAAGGACGGGAAGCUAAACAGAUGUAUCCUGAUUACUACUAGAACUGAAUUUAAACAAAGCAUAGGUUAGCAGAAUUUAGACACGCUAAGUUGUUUGUCUCUCUGUAUAAAAGAAGCCCAGUUGUGCUUGUAAGGUGUGUUCCUCUCUCUGGCAUGAGUCGAGGGGGACACCCGCUCAGCUGACUGAUCAAUAAAGAACUUGAAGCCAUCUUCUCGACUCCCGUGCCUCCUUGGGGUAAUUGGGCAGCUCCAGGGGGAAACGAGCCCAUUUGGCUAACAAAUGGCGACUCCGCCGGGACUUCUCUCCCUGUAGAGGGCACUGACCGACGGCCGAGGGCGAUUCCGAGGAGUGGCCACCUCGAGCUGUUGCUUUGCUCGGGCCUCGGAUCGUCACAAUCGGCCGGGGCGGCUGCGUCCUCUCUAAAGAGAACUCUGAAGGACACGGAAGCAAGACGGCUUCAGAAGGAGGGGAAGUCUGACUGCCGGACGCGGCCACUUCGGGCGGUAAGUGCGUUUACCUCCUGGGUUUGAGGAAUAACGCCCCCGAGGUGUGGGUUGGACAUGGUGGAAAUCCCCUAGGCAGCCUGUAUACGGGAAGCUGCAUCGACGCAGUGCCUUUUCAGGCCCUUCCCUUGGACCAGCCCAUGUACCCAUUCCAGAUCGGUGAUCAGGUCCUCGUCAAGAAGUGGAAGCGUGACCCCCUUACACCACGGUGGGACGGCCCGCAUACUGUCUUGCUUAUCAGCCAAGCUGCAGUCAAAGUUCUUGGGAGUGACAAAUGGGCACACCAUACACAGGUAAAGUGGUUUCUGAACCCUAACCCGGAGACUGAACUAGCGGAAGAGGACACCAGCCCUCUGCCCGCCCCGGCUCCGGAUGCCCGGGGUGGCACAGGUGAAGACUCCACCUGGGAGUAUCAGUACUUAGACGGACUAAAGGGACUGUUUAGAAAAAGAUAAUGAAAUUAUUGUUAAUAUUUUUGUUUAUGUGCUUCCACCACUAUUAUGGUUGGGAAAAUAGGUUUUUACAGCUGGGGGGAGACAAUUGCAAAAUCCAUUAACCUCAGUAACUGUUGGGUAUGCGGAGGCCCAGGGGAAUUAAAUGAAUGGCCUUGGGUAGCCCAGCCGGUACAGCCCAAAUGGUGGCUCAGCAAUUUGAGUAUAAUCCACGAUGGAACGGGGGUUUGGACUGAGGAUAGUAGCCCCUGGCGACUGUAUUCUUCUGGAAAGGGUAUUCUCUGCCUUAAUUGGACAAGGCGGGAGGGAGUGUACUUGGGAGAAAGCAAGUAUGAUUGGACUCUAUCCCCAGGGUUUGAUUGCUGGGACCCUUAUUGUCAUCUGUAUGACUGUUCUAAAUAUCAGGGGCAAUGGAACCAGACCCAUGUGAGGCUCACCAAUAAUAGUUGGGUGAAAUGCUCCAAACAAUACUACCCUACGGCCGAAGGUUGCAGGGCGGUAGGACAGGAUGGGUUCUUUGACGCCCUAUUCACGAGUUGCCAGCUAAACAAUACCACUAGCAAGGACCACGUGGUACGGUGGUUUCAAAUGGGCAUGGCAAAAUCAAAAUGGAACUCGAGUAUGGGGUUUUAAACAAUUCUGGUCUAGCACCAAUCAGCCAAAAUGGGGCUGCGAUUGUGUCUGGAAAGCAGGAGCUGGGGCAUGGAGAUGUGAUUAUUGCAGUUCAGCUGAUGGAAUGGUGGGGGGACCUUUAGGGCCAGGUAAUCCUUUAUAUUUUGACCAUCUAGAGGACGAUGAGAAUGAGGAAACCUGGGAUGGCCCCUUUGCUAAUGGAACCUGGGCUCUAAAGGGCCAUUAUUGGAUCUGCGGGUCCUAUGCCUACUGAAGAUUGCCUCCAAAUUGGUCUGGGAUAUGUUAUGUUGGAUAUAUAAGACCCUUGUUCUUUCUAUUACCCCAGAUGCAGGGAAAUAAAUUGGGAAUUAAGGUUUAAUUAGAGAAAGGCGGUUCGUGGAUUCCACCCUGACCGCCGGAAGCUCCCAAACAUGGGGGGCUCAGGAGUGGCCCCCUGAGAGAAUUAUAAAACAUUAUGGUCCAGCUACAUGGAAUCCUAAUGAGUGGAUCUCAGGGGCCAGGGAGCCCAUUUACAACUUGAAUCGGAUAAUUAGGCUGCAAGCCAUUUUAGAAAUAAUAACUAAUCAGACGGCUGCAGCUCUUGAUCUUUUGGCCGAUCAGUCCACUCAGAUGAGGAAUGUGCUCUACCAGCACCAUCUAGUUCUUGAUUAUUUGCUGGCAGAAGAAGGGGGAAUCUGUGCAAAAUUAAACUAAUCUAAUUGCUGUUUACAAAUAGAUGAUAAUGGAAAGGCGGUAAAACAGCUAAUGAAAGAAAUGAGGAAGUUAGCCCAUGUCCCGGUCCAAACAUGGGGUGGGUGGAAUACGGACUGGUUCACGUCCUGGUUACCGCAACUGGGAUGGCUCCGAGAAGGCCUUCUUCUUUUUGUACUCUUUAUUACAACCCUAUUAACCCUAGCUUGCUUAGCUCCCUGUGUAGUUGCAUUAGUCUGACGAAUGGCUAAUCAAAUUAUACACCAACAAAUGAUGGCCCUAUACCAGCCGGUGAAGGCUGAGGAUUGGGGGCCAUAAGGCUCUCAAAAUGCUUUUUAGGGGGGAAUCUUGUUAGGCCCAAAAACCGAAAAACAUGUUUAUCUCGGCUUCUGCUUGUUAUCCCAGUAAACAUGCUUAUCUCAGUUCUCACUGUCGUUUCCCAUGCAUGAAGCUGCACGUAUACAGGAUGUAUAGAAGAUAUAUGGCAAAGGGGAGGGGACCCUGGGAAAGGAAUGUGAAGGACGGGAAGCUAAACAGAUGUAUCCUGAUUACUACUAGAACUGAAUUUAAACAAAGCAUAGGUUAGCAGAAUUUAGACACGCUAAGUUGUUUGUCUCUCUGUAUAAAAGAAGCCCAGUUGUGCUUGUAAGGUGUGUUCCUCCCUCUGGCAUGAGUCGAGGGGGACACCCGCUCAGCUGACUGAUCAAUAAAGAACUUGAAGCCGU